UACGUAGGGGGGCUAGCGUUGUCCGGAUUUAUUGGGCGUAAAGAGCGUGUAGGCGGCCAAGUAGGUCCGGUGUGAAAACUCGAGGCUUAACCUCGAGAUGUCAUCGGAAACCAUUUGGCUAGAGUCCGGAAGAGGAAAGUGGAAUUCCUGGUGUAGCGGUGAAAUGCGCAGAUAUCAGGAGGAACACCGGUGGCGAAGGCGGGUCUCUGGGCAACAACUGACGCUGGAGGAGCGAAAGCGUGGGGAGCGAACAGG
rnacentral:rRNA from 1 species